rnacentral:RNase_P_RNA from 1 species
UGAGUCGGACGAGGUGGCCGCGGGCGUUCCUCAGGGAAGGCUCGAGGAAGGUCGGGACUCCAAAGGGCAGGGUGCUGGCGUGAAGCCAGGCGCCGCGAGGCGACGGAGAGUGCAACAGAGAGCAGACCGCCGAUGGACCGGGAAACCGGUCACAGGUAAGGGUGAAACGGUGCGGUAAGAGCGCACCAGCGUCCCGGGCGACCGGGCGGCUCGGUAAACCCCACCCGGAGCAAGGUCGAGCAGAGAUCAGGUGGCCCGCCCCACGAUCUCGGGUAG